AACCAAGUACAUAGAAGAGCAAGCCUUGCUGGUUUCUGCAAGGAAGCCCAGGGCAGCAAUCUAACAGCUACACAAAGGCACAUUGCUGAAAGCAUUAAAGGUCUGCAGCAGUUCCCACCACAGGCAACACUUUGUCUUCAACAAAGAGACUCACAUUCUACGCCUGCAAAAAUCCCUAUACUGGCUAAUACUGUAAGAAUGCCAAAAGGAACAUCUGUGUGCUCAGAACUAUACAAACCCAGCUUUAAAUAAAAAAC